rnacentral:rRNA from 1 species
AGUCACUGACAUUAGAUACCCGGGUAGUCCAGGGUGUAAACGCUGCAGACUUGGUGUUGGAAGCCCUUUGGGGGCAUUCAGUGCCGGAGAGAAGUUGUUAAGUCUGCUACUUGGGGAGUACGUCCGCAAGGAUGAAACUUAAAGGAAUUGGCGGGGGAGCACCGCAACGGGAGGAGCGUGCGGUUUAAUUGGAUUCAACACCGUAAACUCACCAGGGAAGACUGUUACAUGAAGGCCGAGAUGAAGACUCUGCUAGAUUUUCAG